rnacentral:rRNA from 1 species
ACGUGGGCAACCUGCCCUGCAGAUCGGGAUAACUCCGGGAAACCGGUGCUAAUACCGAAUAGUUUGUUGCCCCUCCUGGGGCGAAACGGAAAGACGGUUUCGGCUGUCACUGCAGGAUGGGCCCGCGGCGCAUUAGCUAGUUGGUGGGGUAAUGGCCCACCAAGGCGACGAUGCGUAGCCGACCUGAGAGGGUGAUCGGCCACACUGGGACUGAGACACGGCCCAGACUCCUACGGGAGGCAGCAGUAGGGAAUCUUCCGCAAUGGACGCAAGUCUGACGGAGCAACGCCGCGUGAGUGA